UUAUAGCUCGGCCAUUUGCCCCGUGGAGCUGCAGCAUGGUAGACAGUUGUGUUAAGCUUGUGCGCGGUUUUGUCUCUAAUAUUGAACUCAACAUGCUCCAGUGUCGUCUAUUAUGUGAUUCAGCUGUCAUGUCACGCCAGAUGCCACACGUUUGUUUUGACAUGACAUAAUGCCACAAAGGCCUUUGAUUCUGAAAAUGUAAAGUAAGGAGUGAGACCCGUCUGUCUGACUUGAUGUGCACUUGUUACAGAAAGUGGAUGAAAACAAACUUAACAGGCCAUCUUAAAUGCUGAAAUCCGCUUCCAGGGGAGACCCAGAGCAAGUUAUAUACCUAUUGAUUUUUAUUCAGUUUGAUCCAUGCAGGGUGUUUUUUCCAGUAUAAAAGGGUCUUUUGAAAAUAUAAAGAAUGGAGCCUACACUAAUUACUGAAGAAAACCAUUACAUGAUGUAUUUAAGAAUACAGUGGAAACUUUUAUUCGUUGAGUUCAUCAUAAACUGAUGAUAAAUGGAUAUAGCUUCAUUUUAGAAGAACAAAUAUUAAUUGCUAAUAAAAAUAUUUGUCGCA